rnacentral:rRNA from 1 species
AUUGAACGCUGGCGGCAGGCUUAACACAUGCAAGUCGAGCGGAGAGAGGUAGCUUGCCACUGAUCUUAGCGGCGGACGGGUGAGUAAUGCUUAGGAAUCUGCCUAUUAGUGGGGGACAACAUUUCGAAAGGAAUGCUAAUACCGCAUACGUCCUACGGGAGAAAGCAGGGGAUCUUCGGACCUUGCGCUAAUAGAUGAGCCUAAGUCGGAUUAGCUAGUUGGUGGGGUAAAGGCCUACCAAGGCGACGAUCUGUAGCGGGUCUGAGAGGAUGAUCCGCCACACUGGGACUGGGACACGGCCCAGACUCCUACGGGAGGCAGCAGUGGGGAAUAUUGGACAAUGGGCGCAAGCCUGAUCCAGCCAUGCCGCGUGUGUGAAGAAGGCCUUAUGGUUGUAAAGCACUUUAAGCGAGGAGGAGGCUACUUUAGAUAAUACCUAGAGAUAGUGGACGUUACUCGCAGAAUAAGCACCGGCUAACUCUGUGCCAGCCGCCGCAGUAA